CAGCCCUGGCUGUUCCUUGAAUGAUUUGCAACAUUCUAUACAGAAUAUACCGCUCUGGGGUAACAAUGCACACAUAGCCAGCCUGGUAUACAGAAUAUACUGCUCUGGGGUAACAAUGCACACAUAGCCAGCCUGGUAUACAGAAUAUACUGCUCUGGGGUAACAAUGCACACAUAGCCAGCCUGCUAUACAGAAUAUACUGCUCUGGGUAACAAUGCACACAUAGCCAGCCUAGUAUACAGAAUAUACUGCUCUGGGUAACAAUGCACACAUAGCCAGCCUGCUAUACAGAAUAUACUGCUCUGGGUAACAAUGCACACAUAGCCAGCCUGGUAUACAGAAAAUACUGCUCUGGG